CUUAAACUCACGUUCUUACCUUGAUAAGCAUCAGUGUGCUCACAUUUACCUUUAUCACUGCUUCAGUGUCACAAACCUCGGAAGGUCUUCUAGGAAGAACCAUCUCAUCUAGGUACAAAAGGAAAAGGAGAAGUUGGAGGUGGAAAAAAAACCCUUGAUCCGUGAUCAUUUCAGAGCACCAACUUCAUCACCUUCAGGCUUCAGUGUACUGGGUAACACUGACCAUGUCGUUCUGCUUGAGACAGAUAUUAGAUUUUUUUUGGAAUUUGGAUCUUUCAUCUGAGUUCUUUUUCAUGGGCGGGUCGGGGUCAGUAUCCUGUUUGUUAUUGUUAAAUUUGUAUGAACCUUAGAAAAGUUAUUAAAGUGCCAAAGAAUGUUUCCCUUUCCUAAGGCUAGAUUAUUAUGUGGGAUGGUUCGAAGAAAUGCAGGAGCGGGAGGAAGAUAGGGAAAAUCUAUAAUGGCUGAAGUGAAAAGCAACCUGGGGUGGUUGUAGCAUGUAAAAGGAGCAUGUUAAUCAACCUCUUAAGGAAGAGACUCUCAGGCUGGGUGCGGUACUCAUGCCUGUAAUCCUAGCACUUUAGGAGGCCGAGGCGGGUGGAUCACCUGAGGUCAGCAGUUUGAGACCAGCCUGGCCAACAUGGCAAAACCCCAUCUCUAGUGAGAAUACAAAAAUUAGCCAGGCAUAGUGGUGCGUGCCUGUAAUCCCAGCUACUAGGGGGGCUGAGGCAGGAGGAUCACUUGAACCUGGGAGGUGGAGGUUGCAGUGAGCUGAGAUCAUGCCACUGCAUUCCAGCCUGGGCAACAGAGCGAGACUCCGUCUCAAAAACAAAAACAAAAACAAAAAAGAAUCUUAUCUGAUUGGGACCAGUUCACUAACUUUGGGGAUAAUUUAUGCUAUUUAAUUAUGCAACCCAAUUCUAGUAGAAAAAUUAUUUUCUACCAGCUUGUUCAGUUUUAAGAUCAUGGUAUGUUUUUGCUCACUGUUUGCUUACAUCCAUGGCUGGCACUGCUGUCAUAAGGGCAGCAUGUCACCUAGUUGUGCCUUCAUAGACCUUAGGCAACCAACUUUUAGCAAGCUGGCCAUGAAGGAAGGCUACUGUUCAAGUUACUUUCCACUCUCAUUUUUAUUCUGGCAGUUCGAAGAAACUUCCCCAAAUCUGACAAGUGAAUAUUCUCAUGGUUGGUGGAAAAGUGCCUGAUGUACCAGAAAGAGCACUGGACUUGGAACCAGAAGACCUGGGUUUGGGGUGGUAGCUGGUAGGCAGCUGGCUGAGUGACCUGAGGCUGAUGCUACGCUCAGGCACACAGAUUUUGUAAGUAUAUUUUGGUACAGUUUGAUUUCUGCACCCUCAUCAUUUAGGUUGCGUCUGGGACUCUUAAGAGUCUGUCACCAUAAUGGAUAGUUUUCUGUUAUUUAAGGUUGAGAACUUUACAAAUUCUUUUUAAAAAAGUUACAAAAGCAUAGACAUACACUAAGUAAAAAUGAUAGUUCUCCCUCCAACCCCACUUUCCAGAGACAAGCACUAUUUUUUGUUUGUUUGUUUUUUUGUUUGAGACAGGGUCCCACUUUGUUGCCCAGGCUGGGGUACAGUGGUGAGAUAUUGGGUUACUGCAGCCUCAACCUCCUGGGCUCAAGCAAUCCUCCCAUCUCAGCCUCCUUAGUAGAUAGGACUACCAGUGUGUGCCACCACACCCAGAUAAUUUUUAUUUAUUUAUUUUUUUGUAGAGAUGGAGGGGUCUUGCUAUGUUGCCCAGACUGGUUUUGAACUCCUGGCCUGGGGUGAUCCUCCCACCAUGGCCUCCCAAAGCACUGAGAGUCCAGGUGUGCGCCACCACGCCCAACCACCAACCACUACCACUAUUAAGGUUAAGCUCAUAAAGCUUUUUUGAGUGCUUAGUCAAACAUACAUGGUAGUAUUGUUUUAUAAAGACUUGUGUUUUUCUGAUAUGUCCUUUUUUGACCUAACUUUUAAGUCAGUUCAAAUAGAGAUAACUUUUUUUUAAGGGAGAAAAUAAAUGAAUAAAAACCCGAGAAACAAACAAACAAAAAAAAAACACAAAGACUGAGUGGAUGGUAGCCAAGAGGGAAGAGAGUACCCUUUCCUGACUCUUUCAUCCUCUAAGGCUUGCUACUAAGUCCCAAAACAUCCAGAUCCUGGAAGAGGCUUAUUAAAGGAAUCAAGGCAUGGAACUCACCCCUAGGAAACCUACCCUGAAAAGUUUCUUGGAGUAAAGUCUGGAGUGUUAGUGGUCCUUGUUCUCCUUUGGGUUUCAAGUAAACACGUUUUGCUUCCUCCCUCACUUUUCCCAUGACCAUCUCCAGCUUGAGUAUUUUGUGUGUCAGCAAGUCCUUUUGGCUUAGUGUUUUAAUCUAAAUUAGAACAAAUAAUGUUUGAAAAACAAAACAAAACACCUGUACUAGGCAGCAAAUUAUCAAAAAACAUUAAUAAAGUGAUUGUAGGAGGCUGAGGAGGGAGGAUCACUUGAGCCCAACAGUUCAAGGCUACAGUGAGCUGUGAUCAUGCCACUGCACUCCAGCCUGGGCAACAAAGUGAGACCCUGUCUCUAGAAAAUAAAGAAGUAACUAAUUGCAUAUGCUUAUCAGUAGUAGGUGGUACAUAAGUGCCUGAGAACAUUGUUCUCUUAUGAUAUUGGUUGGAGAUUUUUUAUACCUGUUCGUGAAAAUUUUACUUCAGCUUUUUGGGCAUGAUGAACCUGCUAAGAAUUGCUUGCUUGAUGUGAAGUUGGUUUCUUGAAUUACCUUUUUAAAGUCCUUUCCCCUCUAUUCCUUCAUCUUAUCUAACAGCUUUGAAAAAUUAGAACAAUCCAGGCCAGGCAUGAUGGCUCAUGCCUGUAAUCCCAGCACUUUGGGAGGCUGAGGCGGGUGGAUCACUUGAGGCCAGGAGUUCAAGACCAGCCUGGCCAACAUAGCAAAACCUUGUCUCCACUAAAAAUACAAAAAAAUUAGUUGGGUGUGGUGGCACAUGCCUAUAAUCCCAGCUAUUUUGGUGGCUGAGGCACGAGAAUCACUUGAACCCAGGAGGUGGAGGUUGCAGUGAGCCAAGAUCACACCACUGCACUCCAGCCUGGGCGACAGAGCGAGACUGUCCCCCCCUCAAAAAAAAAAGCAAAAAUUAUGUUAAUCCUUUCAGCUAGAGAUUUUCUUUGGUGAGAAAACCCAGAUUAGGAAUUCAGAAAAAUUAAGAAGAAAAUCUAGGGGGCCAGCUCUAGUCCCUUAUUCCUUCUCUAUGCCUAUUUGAAAAAAAGGAAAAAUAAACAACUUGGGUUUGGGGUUGAUGGGGAGAAAAUAGGAAGGGAGGGAAAUAGUAUUUCUGAAACAAUGAGGGUUACUUGAUAGGACUAAUAGGAUUUUUGUUUUGUUUUUGUCUUUACUAGUAGGACCUUGUAACCCAAUCUUGCACAGAUGCUUUGCAUCUUCAAAUGAUGUGGCAUCUGUGUCUGGGGUUUUAGAAAGUACUUCUAUGGUGGGAAAAAGGGUAUGUACAUGUUUGAGGAGGACAGGGUCUGAGGAACUCUUGAGAGUCCUGAAUUUUCUCUUGAGAACAGAGCUUGCACUUAUUUACCCUGUUCUUGAUCUCCUGAAGCAUUUCUUGGUUUCCUUCAUUUCCUAAGUUGAGUAUCUUCAUUGUCUGGUACAUUUCUCUGAAAGAUAAGAAGGGCUUCUUAGAUUAUUCUACCCUGCCCUUUAAAAAAGUAUGGGGGUAGAAAAUAUAGGACUUGGAAUCAGGUAAGAAUCCCAAGUUCCAAUCCUAACUGUGCAGUUUUGCUGAGCCUUAUAUGCAAAAAUGGUAUAAUGCUUAGCUUACAGGAAUAAUGUGCAGUUUUUGAGACAAUAUAUUUGUGGGUUUUUUGUUUACUUUUUGUUUUUGCGAGAUGGAGUCUUGCUCUGUUUCCCAGAGCUGGAGUGCAAUGGCACGAUCUCGUCUCGGCUCACUGCAACCUCCACCUCCCAGGUUCAAGCGAUUCUCCUGCCUCAGCCUCCUGAGUUGCUGGGACUACAGGCGCGUGCCAUCAUGCCCAGCUAGUUUUUGUAUUUUUAGUAGAGAUGGGGUUUCACCAUGUUGGCCAGGCUGGUCUAGAACUCCUGACCUCAGGUGAUCCACCCGCCUUGGCCUCCCAAAGUGUUGGGGCUACAGGUGUGAGCCACUGCACCCGGCCAUGCCCGUCUAAUUUUUGUAUUUUUAGUAGAGACAGGUUUCACCAUGUUGGCCAGGCUGGUCUAGAACUCCUGACCUCAGGUGAUCCAUCUGCCUCAGCCUCCCAAAGUGUUGGGAUUACAGAUGUGAGCCACCUCAUCUGGCCAAGACAAUAUAUUUGAAGGUGCCAAUAGGUACCAUUUACUGAACACCUUUAUGACAGGCGCUAAACAUGUCAUCUCAUUAAUUAUCACCACAACCCUAUAAUGUAGACUAUCACCUGCAUUUGAUACAUGAAAAAAAUGGGCUCACAGAGUUUAAAUACCUUACACGGGCUCACAUAGCUAUUGCAUGCCAGAGCUGGAAUUCAAACCCUGGUCUUUUUGACUCUAAAACUUGUUGUCCCAAUAGGCAUUUGAUAAAUGUUAGUUGAAUAUAUGAAUAACUUAAAACCCAUCCU
rnacentral:lncRNA from 1 species